rnacentral:rRNA from 1 species
GAUGAACGCUGGCGGCGUGCCUAAUACAUGCAAGUCGAGCGAACAGACGAGGAGCUUGCUCCUCUGACGUUAGCGGCGGACGGGUGAGUAACCCGUGGAUAACCUACCUAUAAGACUGGGAUAACUUCGGGAAACCGGAGCUAAUACCGGAUAAUAUAUUUAACCGCAUGGUUCAAUAGUGGAAGGCGGUUUUGCUGUCACUUAUACAUGGAUCCGCGCCGCAUUAGCUAGUUGGGAAGGUAACGGCUUACCAAGGCGACGAUGCGUAUCCGACCUGAGAGGGUGACCGCCCACACUGGACCUGAGAAACGGCCCAGCCUCCUCCGGGAGGCAGCAGAGGGGAACCUUCCGAAAAGGGGGAAGGCCUGACGGAGCAACGCGGCGUGAGGGAUGAAGGUCUCCGGAUCGUAAAACUCUUUUAUGAGGGAAGACCAAAUGUGUAAGAAACGAUCGACGCCUUGACGGUACCUAAUCAGAAAGCCACGGCUAACUACGUG